CUUGGCAGCUGGAGGCGAUGAAGGACGUGGAAGCCUGCGAUAAGCUUCGGGGAGCUGGCAAACAAGCUUUGAUCCGGAGAUGUCCGAAUGGGGAAACCCACUCAGGAAAACCUGAGUAUCGCACACUGAAUCCAUAGGUGUGCGAGGCGAACCCGGGGAACUGAAACAUCUAAGUACCCGGAGGAAAAGAAAUCAACCGAGAUUCCCUUAGUAGCGGCGAGCGAACGGGGAUUAGCCCUUAAGUUGGCAUUGUUCUAGUGGAACCCUCUGGAAAGUGGGGCCAUAGCGGGUGACAGCCCCGUACACGAAAGGGCAUUGCCGAUGAAAACGAGUAGGUCGGGACACGUGGUAUCCUGAUUGAAGAUGGGGGGACCAUCCUCCAAGGCUAAAUACUCCAGCUGACCGAUAGUGAACCAGUACCGUGAGG
rnacentral:rRNA from 1 species